AAAGGCAAAUAUUGGGAGAAUGGAUAAAAAAGACAUUUAGACAUGUGGCUAAAUUUAAUCAUCCAUCCUCAGUUCUCAUCUUUCCUGACACUCGUGAUCAUUUCCUCCGUUUUGAAUCCUCUUCUUACCUAGCCUUUGGUAUCAAUCCCUCAGAAAAUCCUGUUGACUCUGCCUUCCAAAUAUACCCACACAUGUGUUCUUUUUUCCACUUCCCUAGUGACCUACCUCUGGUCCAAGCAGCCACCACCUCUGGCGUGGAGGGUUGCAGGUCUCCCCGCUUCUGCCCUGCUCCCUCUCCAUCUCUUCCUAACGCACAGCCAGGGCAAUCCAGUGAGGGCAGAGGACGGCUCCCACUCAGACCCCAGGGGCUCUCCAUCUUAGUCUGAGUAGCAGCCCCAUUCCUACAGAGGCCAGGAGGUGCUACACCACCUGGCCUGGUGACCUCUGCGGCCUCUCCCCUGCUGUUCUCCCCCAACUUGCUCUGCAGGUCACGCUGGCCUCCCACAGUCUCCCACCGUCUGCACACAGCCCAGUGUGCUCCCGUCUCUGCCUGGAGUGUCCUGAGCUCAGGUGGCUGCAGGGCUCACUUCCUGGGCUUCCUCAGUCUUCAUUCGUAAGGCCUUCCCUCAACACCUGUUUAAAAUGACAGCUGCUCCACCCCCAGCUUCCCAGUCCCCCUUAUCCUGCCGCACUGAUUUCUGCCAUGGCACUCAUCUCCUUCUAAGGUUCCAUAUAAUUUAACUAAUGAGGCAGCCCUGGGAGUGCAGAGCUCCCACCCCU
rnacentral:lncRNA from 1 species